CGCUCAGCUCGUGGAAUAAUUUCUUGUCGCUCUCAUUCCUCGUUGGAAUAUUGCUCGUGCUGUUAUCUGUUGUGUUUUUGGGCUGUAACUGUACGAAAAACAUGUCCCUUUGAUAAUAAAUGGUUGAAAAAAGCUCAAGGUGUAGACAUGGAAAAAUCGGUUCGUGUUUAACCGUGUAGUAAUAGUGACGAUUGGAUGAAAGGCAGGUGUAAUUUAACGGGUGGAUGGUAGGCUCGUGAAUUAAUAGGAUAUCGAUUUGCCCGCACAAGUGCUGUGCUGGCUGUAACGCACACGACCGAGCAACUAGGCAGCCAUGGACGUCGAUAUUUUUGGGGCACAGUCCGUACGGACAUUGAAAUAUGACCAUUUAACAUCGUCAAAGGCCUGAUAAAAGGCAAUAUGUUGGUAAUCAGGGUCGCGAGUAUAGCGAAGUAGUAUUAAAUAAAGAAUAACGCGAGGGCGAAACUCUCGUACAACGGUGGUUCGUAGCUAGUGUUGUGUUUGUGUGUAUUAAUCGUCCGGUGCAUCGCGUUUCGUUCCUUGUUCCCUCGGUUCCUUGUCCGUGAUAAAGUUCAUCGUACGCGAAUUGCAACGUGAAAUAUAUAUUGCUGAAAGGAUAUUGAAAAACGAAGAAUUUAAUCCAACGUAGUCUUUGUCAAAACCCAUACAAUGGAGCUUGGAAGUAGCAUGAGUUCAGGGGCAGUCGCCUGUCCCGUUUGCACUUUGUAUUUACGCGAAGGUAUAAGCUUGCAAAAGCAUUUGGAUACUCACCCCAAGGAACAGGUAAUCGAAGCUCUGAUCAAGGCGAGCACGUCGUCAGCGCAGCAGCCUCAGUUGAACCUUUCUCAACCGGCACAAAAUCCCAUCCAUUCACCACCGAAUCCUGUGGCUUCUCAGUCGCCGUACCCUGUAGGGCCAGUAUUUGAAUGUCCUCCGGUAGCCCCGAUGAUGUCACCUCAAUUUGCCUCCUUCAGUUAUCAACAGUUUGUUAACAACGGGACAAUGAUGAUACCACAGUACGCAAUGGCGCCGCAAGCCAAUCAGAUGAUGCAAAUGCUCUACAAUCCCUACGGUAUGUAUCAACAGCAACAGAUACCAGCGGUUCAGAUGAUCGCUCCUAUAUCGAAUGUACCAACAACGUCGAGAAGCAGACCUAUGGUCUCUGUGGCUAGUGACAGUGGCGCCAGGAACAUCAUUCCACCUUUAAAUAGUGCCGAACUUGAACCAAAGCAAAUUUUACCCGAAAUUGAAGCAGAACAGGUUUUACCUGAUGUUGAAAUGUCGGUAGGUUCAAUGCCGUUGUCCAGGGAACCAACGGUAAGCACAAAUCAGCGGGAAGGUGAGGAUCAAAGUGAUCGGAAUCAGGCACAACAAGGGCGGCACGAUUCAAUCCCUCCUCAUCAGGAUGGCAGUAGUCGAAUUGAGUAUGGAAAUAUUGUGCAGAAUUCAGCAAUGAGCAAUAGUACAGUCGAGGAUGACGGCGAUAAGGGAGAAAGCGUACUACCUGACAUAGAGGAUACGGAAUCGACCAGUCCUACACAACAAGUUCCCAUACAGCACGAACACACGCAAACUCAGAACAGUGAGGAAUUUACUCAGAACUUUGAAGGGGAUUCUGAAAAGGAACGCAACAGUCGACUAGCUAUUAUUGAGAUUGAUUUAGAUGCAGAAGAUAAUAAAUUAGAUAAUGAAGAACAGAAUUUGACGGAACAUCGUGAGAACAUGGUCGUUUCAGUUGAAGAAAGUAUGCCUGUUGCGAGAGUCAAGGGAUCGAAUGAACAACCUGAAGUGGAGCAAUUGGAGCGUUUGUUGAUAACCAUAAUGGAUACUGAAUUCAACGUUGAUUCGUUAAAGAGUAAAAAUGAGAAGAUUGAGGAUGAGGAAAGAAAUGAAAAAAGCUGUGACCAGGAAGUUAUUGUAGGUGAUAGAGAAACUAGCGUGAUACAAGAAGUAGCGGCAACUUCCAACAUAGGCGGAUCGAGAAGUUGUGUAAAGAUACCGGAGACUGAUCGGAUUCGAGAAUCCUUUGCUCUUAACAAAGACAAUGAUGACCGUCAUACAUCAGUUCAAACGGAUGUGAUUGAAACUUGUGCUGAAGAGGCUAGUACCCACUUUGCGUAUAGUUACAAAAAUAGCAUAUCUGCUCCUGCUUCGCCGGCUACUCAGAAGAGCUCUUAUCGGCUUAGAACUUAUUCGACCCGUUCGGAAAUGGGAUCGAAUGAAAACCUAAGUUCUUACCCUGUUGGUUUUGAGGCAACAACGCUACUGGAUGAGGAGGACAAUGAAGUGGAUGAAAAACGAGAGUUCAGGGAUAACUUUGAUGAAGAAGACAUGGAGAUUGAUGAAAUUACCAGCCCUCAUACUCCAUUUACAAAACAUAAUGAAAAUAUUGAGUGCGUCAGGUCUCACACACCAUUGUCAACUUUAAGCGGAAUCUCUGGCCUUAGAGUAAGAACCGAUCUCAGCAAACCUUGUUCGCCAGCUUCGACACAUUCCUUUCAACAUCUUGACACAAAUAGCCUUUGUCCAGAAGAUGAUGCUGAAGAGAUGAUAGACCCUGCAACCGAAAAAGAUCCUAUAGAUUGUAUGCAACUUCAGAGGGAAGCGGAACUAAUGGAAAACUUGAAGAAUAUUUCACAGAAAUUGCAGCCAAAUCACGUCUACCAUCAAUCUGUGAUAACUGAAAAUCUCGCCACCUUCGCUAUUGAACAUCACUCUCAGAAAUCCAUGACUAUCCACGAUCGUUACACGGAGAUAAAUCGUAACAAUACUGAUAAUCUUUUAGACUUAUCUGAACCAUCGGAACCAACGACAAGUACAGAUUCGAAAAACUUCCAACCCGACAAGUCUAUUCUUCACAAACCAACUGCAGAAUUGUUGAAUAUCAAUGAAGAUGCACAUCCAGGACCUAUGAACGUACUUGAAUUUGAUGGACUUCAAAUUCUGGUCCCUAGCACAUUCAUUAGUGAAUCUUCCCAAAAAGCGGUCAGUGCAACAAGUCGGCAAUCUAUGGUAAGCAGCGAGGGUGGGGUGGAGGCAGAUGAGGAAAUCAAGAGCGUUAACAUGAGGGCGGAUGAAAUCAUGCCUCCAAGGGGAGAAUUAUCGGAACAAGAAAGCAAUGGAUGCCAUGAACCUUCAGCAUGGCAGCAGUUGUACAUGGGUCAGGAAUCGUCACGGAUGUCGACGUCAUACGAUUUAAUGGCACGUGAGAGUUGGGAGGAAUCUGAGGGAUCAGAUAACGAGAUUGGAGGCCCUCUUUUAGACAGUCGUUCAUUGGCAACUCAUUUCACUUCCAGUCUGUUUCUGGACCGUGAUAGAAAAACUCCUACAAAGCGAUCUUUCAAGUGUCCGCAUUGUUCGGAUGUUUUUGACUGUCCGAAAGAACGUAGAGUGCAUACAGGGACUGUACAUAAAGAAGCAGGACCUAGCAGCAGCAGAGAUCCCAUGGAGGAACCUGAAGUUAAAGACAUAAAAUUACUAGACGGACGAAUGAAUGUGUUCGACGAUCUCUUUGUUCCAGGGCUGCAUGUGCAGCAACCUCUUCUUCAUCAGCUUCAACCAGCCCACCAUACUCCGGAUCUGACAAAGUUGGAAGUUGAUAGGAAGAUUGAAAACUUGAUUGUUCCAACAUCUAUUGAAAUCUCUUGUUCGAUUUGUGGGCAAAUGUUUAAUAGCGAAAAAUCAUUGCAAAUACAUCAUAGAAGGGUACAUGUUUCCGAGAGUAAUAAGCGUGUGCGGGAGAGCGCUAAGUGUCAAACAUGCAACGAAGAAUUUCCAUCGGUUGUUUUGUUUAAUACACACUUGAAGAUUCAUCCCUUGGAAUGUGGUCAAUGCGGUAAAUAUUUCUAUAGAAAACAAAACUUCAAACUACAUAUGAAACGACACCUUGGAAUAAAGCCUUUCCCUUGCACUGUCUGUGACAAAGCAUUUCUGACUAAACAAAAGCUGGAUGAACAUACCAACGGUCACACCGGUAACGCUCCUGUCAAGUGUAACUUGUGUAACGAAACUUUCAGACGUUAUUCGAACUUAACUCAACACAAAAACCGGCAUCAUUUAAAUAUAAAAAAAAAACUAAAGGACUAUAUUUGUCACUGUGGUGAAGUGUUUCACACAAAGAAAAAAUUGGCUUGGCAUAAAGAAACGCAUGACGAAAAACCGAAGGCAUGCACUUACUGUAAUGAGAGAUUCAUUCACAUGGCCAGUUUAACGCGACAUAUGCGGAGAGCUCAUAAUCGUAGAUUUGUUCCUGAUGCUCAAAGGGAAAAUGAAAAUGUCGAAUGUCCUAUCUGUAAAUGUAUUUAUUUACGCUCAUCCUUGGCGGUGCACAUGCGAGUUCAUAAUGGAGAAAGACCUUACGAAUGCCAAGUUUGUUCUAAGGCGUUCAGCACAAAAUGGAACCUACAACUGCACAAAUGGACCCAUGCUGCGCGCAGUACAAAACCUUUCAAAUGUAACCAAUGCAGCGCCGCCUUUUAUCGUCACAGCGAUUAUACAGCUCACAUGAACUCUCACCGUAAUGUACGACCUUAUACAUGUAACUACUGUGGAGCACAAUUUAUCCGGAAAUAUAAUUGCCUACGACACGUCAAGGAACAUGAAGAGAACAAAUCGUACACGUGCGAUAUUUGCAACAAAACUUUCCAUCGAUCUUACUACCUUAAAGAACAUUUGCGAGUCCAUUCCGGCGCCAGACCAUACACGUGUCAUAUCUGUGGUAAAUCUAGUAGUACCAAGUCAAAUCAUAAUAAACAUGUGAGAAUUCACCAUGCAAGGGAACCUGUAAAUACCGAAAACUAAAGGACCCAAGGUCCACCUUUGGAACAGCAUUAUGCUGUGUCGAAUGGUCUAAAGUACUGGGUCUAUAUUAUUUAUUUAAAGUUUGGGUCACUAUACGCCUCGUUUCUAGAGAAUUAAUUAUAUUGUUGCACAUUCAAGGCAAGGUGAAUCAAACAUUCGCCAGAAAUUAAGCGCCGAGCUCUCAUCGGAAUUAGAGAUUUAUUUCUUCGAAACUCGGAAUAUUAGAUCGAAUGAUUCUUGAUAUAACAGCAUGCUCAAAUAUGAUCGCCCCGCUUAAAAAAUAUUUAAAACAAGUUUUAUCAAGAAUAUUAUUUGCUUAUUUUACAAUUAUAAUCUAGUAGUAAUCUGUAUUUAUAAAUUUUAACAACUAUUCUCCGCUCCAAGCAUGGAAUUAUCAAAGUUUAUUUUUAAUCAAAUUAUCAGCCACCAAUCAUUUUUACUCUACUCAAUCAAACGUCUGCCAGUCCUAUUGCGUGAUUAAUUUUCAAUUCCAUUAGUUUGAGAAAUCUGAAAGCAUACAAUGCACUUUCAAAUAUUCGAAUUUUAAUACCAUGUCUAGUAGAUACUAUUAGUUAUUAUUUUUAGCCAUGAAAUAACCUGGGGUAAAACGAAAUCGGCAGUGUGAUAGAAAAAGAAAUUUAAUCAAAUAUAAUGAAGUGUUAAAUAUUAUUUAUUCAAGGAAUUGACCAAUUUUUGUGAGUUGCUUUAGAGUGGUCACGAAUGGUUCAACUUUGAUAAUGUCAUGCUCUGCAAAAAGAUAUAUCUGCUGUGAUAAUUCCAUACCUUGAAAUGUGGCCCUCUCUGACCGACAUUGAAAUAUCAAUGUUGAAUCACAUACUUAAAACUUGGCUAUGUAGUAUUAGAGUGUCAGGUAAGGCUCUUUGACACAGGCCACUCUGAGCGACUCACAAACAGAGGUGGAAGAAUAGAGGGAAAUUGAUUGUGAUGGUAAUCUUUUGAGUAACGAUAGAGUGAAAACUCAAAGAUAUGCAUACUAAUAUUUCAUUAAAUGAAUCUGCAUUAUACAGUGAUUUUUCCUGUAUAAUAUAUACUUACUUGUACUAUCCAACCUUUAAGGCAUUAUUCUGUUGUAAAUUUAUUUUUUGUUUUAUUUUAUGUUGAGCAUGAUUGACGUCUCAUGAGAUUUAAUAUGUUACUUUUUAUUUUGAAAAACUUGCACCGCAAGCUAGAAAAAACUAGUAAGCCAGGGCGAAUGACUGUGAUACGCUUCAUACUUUUAUUUCAAUGUGUCUGGUGCACCCAGACGAAAAUUGUUAGUUGAAUUUUAAGAAUAAGGAUAACCUUGAAAAAAUUUUUCAUCGUCCGUAAAAGUUGGUGAAAUGCAUUAUCAGAGAUUUUGGGAUUCUUUAUAUCGCUGUGACAAUUUUCUUUCCUUGCACGAAAGCUUUAUGCCUUGGAAUCGGUAGAUUGGAUAAAAAUGCGUCCCUAGUACUAAAAUCAAUGUUUAUGAAAUUUGAUCAAAUUUGCAAUAAAUUUGAAAAUUGAAUAUGAUACUUAGAUAGGACAGGAUGUUUUGUUACUGCGUUAUGAUCCGACAAUCUAGUUUUGUAGGUCCAGUGACUUAAGACCCUAACUACUUAAAAUAAUAAAUAUUUGUUAACAAAAGUUAACUACCUAUUACCUGUGUCUCAGAGACUCAAGUAGACCUCUGACAAAUAGAGGGCUACACAGUGAAACACGUUUGCCAACUAAUAGUAAUUAAUUAUUACGUAAAUCUAAUUAACCGAAUAAUAUUACAUAAUUAUCAAAACUCUUUGAUGUGUCAAUCGUUGUAAGUGGUUUUUUUACAAGGAACUAUUUUACAUAAAGAGUGCAUAUUGCAAGUUUGCGCGUCGGUGUCCAGUGUACUAAGUGUGAAAGGCCUGUAUUGAGUUGCGUAUGAUCUUACAUAAAGGGUCUAUUAUUUACUAUUAUUAAGAUUGAAUUAAUAUUAACUAUUACAUUUAAUAGUUAUAAAUCUUAGUUGUUAUUCUUCUAUAUUUAUAUAUUUUGCAAUCAUUAAGGUGAUUUUUAUUGGUAGUUUUUUUAAUACCAAGACUGAUCGAUGUUGGUGCUCCAUAUUACUCCUAAAUAUCAGCGGUUCUUCUUCAUUAAAUCGAAAGUUACUUCACCCCACGUAGAUUUCAGUCAGUUGAAAAUCAAAGCAAAUCUAGAUUUUUUUACGAUACUGCUUCGCAUCAGACUAUUGAUUGAAGUCAGUGAUUCGUUCAAUGUCCAAACUAGUAGUUAAGUUUUAUAUUUUAAAGAAUGAAUAACGAGAAAUGGUUUAAGUGCGUCAUUUUGAUCUCUAUUAAAGAUAAGAAUUAAUUUCUCAAGGUGCAUCUGACCUAGAAUGAUUGGCGUUUGCACUAACGCUAACAAGCAAUCUACUACAAAUGGUUGAAAAAUUCACAGGAGUAAUAUGGAGGUAAUUUCCGUACUGCCUGGGUUAUAUGUUGACUGUACUUUUGAAGAUGAGUCUUCUUAGCGUGAUUGGUGUAAUUAAAUUACAUAAAAUAAGCCCCAUGUCAUUACAGAGCUUCAACCAAGCACUUGCAAUAAUUCUUCUCAAUUACUAUGACAAUUGGUCGAGAUUUUUAGUAAACACGUCAAUAAAUAUAUCUGUUCAAAAUAGAAGAGAGAGAAUAUUUUAAUAAAUAUAAUUGGUUGCAUCUCGGUUAUACCUUGGUUUGUAAAUGAUGUCCUGGAUUUUAAUCAAGCUUAUUUUUGAAGGGGUCUGUAUAUCUGCAAUCCCCGUAUUUUAACAAUAAUUAAGACAAGCGUGUAUGUAUAUUUGAUCUUUAUUGUAUAAUUUAUACAUCAUGGCACCAUGGCCAGAGUUUUUACACAACCCACCUAGAGCCAACAUCGUAGUCAUCCAAAUGUGCAAUUGUGUAGCUAAGCAGCAUGCGCGUUAGAUUAGACGCAGUACUGUAUAUAAUGUAAAUAUGUACAUCAAUUAUAUUUUAUAAUAGGGCCAAUCAAUCACCCGGCAAUUGAAUAUUGUAUGAAACUUGAUUCAUGCUAUACGAAGAUACAGAUAGGAUAAUUAUUAUCAUUAAACAAUUAAUAAAUCAACAUGUGUACACCUUAAUAAAAGUUAUGUAUUGAGGUACGUUUCUUUGUAAAUAAGUUUCUUCUAACGUUGAUCUAUUCAUAUAUAGUGUUUGAUCACCAUGUUUUCAUAUCCUGAAAAUAUCAAGGAUGAACAUCAAACUAUUUACUAAAUAGAAACAUUCUGCAAAUUAUCCCGAAUGACGCCUCGCCACUAUAGCGCUCAGAUCACAGGCGGCCAUCUUGUGAAAAUUGUGGAACAAUUGCUGGCCCCUCGAUUACCGACAGAAGACAGAAGGGAAUGUGCGUCGAGAAGUCGGGCGCGUCAGAACAUCCGCUCUGUAGUUCGCGUCGGUUCGCAUCGCGAUGCAGUCAUCGUAUACAUUCGGCGCGAUUGUUUUGUAUAUAAUUAUACUGUGCUCAGUGCCAUAAUUCAUUUGUAAAUGUUCUAUUUAUCUAACAACUUGCUCGUGUUAAGCGAAAGUAAAUUAUUUCUCAAUAAAUAAAAGUGUGAUGUAAAGGUGCGUAGUUGACCAGUAAUGAAUCAGUACGACGAAAUAUAAUUUUUCAAGUGCUAAACAUUUGCCGAUCGCAGUUUGUUUUAUGCAGCUUCUUGGAAAAAAAAACGACACGUUAUUUGCUCUGUAAAGUCUCCGUCGACAUCUUUGUACCUUUUCUAUUAUUAUACUUCGAUAUUUAUGUAUCGGAUUUUAUGUUAACUGUAACAUUAACUUAUUAAUUACGUACUAUAUCCGUAAUCAUCUAACUGCGAUCAGUGAUUAAAGUUCGAUUUGAAAUGAUACGAACCUAUGUUUACCCGGACGCAUUCAUGAAUAUCACGAGUUACUUAUUUCAAUGUUUUGUUGCUUUUGUAUCCGGCUGAUU